rnacentral:lncRNA from 1 species
AUGCUGGAGACCGCCAGGCUGACGGACACAGUACAAACUCGUAGGCUGCUCCUACAGGGGACUGAACCCAGGGCCUUCACACUGGGCUACAGCCCCACCCCGCGGCGGCCUCAGACACUUUCCUCCCUGUGGCUUCUCCUUCCCCUCCAAGCGCCCUCCGUAGCCAACCAGGAGGCAGCCGGCUGCAGGCGGGGAGAGAGGGGUGCCCUGGCCUGCACCUCGCUGGAGCCCUUUGGGUGUGAAGCCUGCUUCCUGGCUGGAUCUUUGACCUGAACCCGUCGAGGGGCAGGACCCAUGUUUUAAGAAGCCUGGGCUGCCACGGACGCGGAUGCAGCUGGCCCUACCACCUCGAUUUACAUUUUCUGGGAAACCUGGGCCAGAGAGAGGGGCACUCAUUGUCCAAGGUCACACAGCAGGUGGGGUCCAGAGCUCCGGGCUCCCAGCAGGGUGUAGCUCCCGUCCCCAUCCUGAUGGCCUCUUCCUCCUGCCCCCUGUCCCCGCUCAGCCCUGGCAUCUGGUCUGGAGCCCCCACUCGGGAAAGCCUGACCAACCAAUUUCAACCCAAGCCCGCACAUUCCACUACGGGACAGACUAAGACCCACACCCGGGCUUCUCACUGCUUAGUGCUGAGUACUCGCUACGCCCCAGCGCCGUGCCAGAGCGCUGUGCAUAACCAACUCCGCUCUUCUUAAUACUGUUACAGCGGCACGGGCCAGACACAGUCCAGGCGCACAAGGAUGGCCACGCGCACGCUUGGUAGUGAGUAGCUGCAGCUGUUGAAGACCCUGGAGGGCGCAGCAGCAGCAGGCAGAAGGGCAAAACGGGAAGAGGAGGAGGAAGAGGAGCCCGUGGUCGCAGGCGACGCUGCACUGGUGGCGGUGAAGUUCUCCGGGAAGGAGCUGGUAGCGGUGCCCACGGUAUCCGCGCAGGCACGCUCGGGCCGGUGUGUGGGCGCUUGGGCUCCGGGAGGAAGAAGAGGAACCCGGAUAACUCAGUCCUCAGUAUUUAACUCCAGGUGCCUCCCGCUGUGGUCAGACUCUGGCUGCUCCAGUCUGUCUCAGUGGUGUGGAUGAUCUGCUGCCUCAGGCUUCUCAACCUCCUAAGCUUAACGGGGAUCAUUACUGGGGUGGUGUUGUGUCCAUAGCUGAAUGAAGGCAAGGCAGUGGACUGGUUUUCACUCUGUAGCCCAGGCUAGCCCUUGAACUCACAGAAAUCCUCCUGCCUCAGCCUCC